rnacentral:rRNA from 1 species
UACGUAGGGUGCGAGCGUUGUCCGGAGUUAUUGGGCGUAAAGAGCUCGUAGGCGGUCUGUCGCGUCUGCUGUGAAAUCCCGAGGCUCAACCUCGGGCUUGCAGUGGGUACGGGCAGGCUAGAGUGCGGUAGGGGAGAAUGGAACUCCUGGUGUAGCGGUGGAAUGCGCAGAUAUCAGGAAGAACACCGAUGGCGAAGGCAGUUCUCUGGGCCGUAACUGACGCUGAGGAGCGAAAGCGUGGGGAGCGAACAGG